UACGAAGGGGGCUAGCGUUGCUCGGAAUCACUGGGCGUAAAGCGCACGUAGGCGGACUCUUAAGUCGGGGGUGAAGUCCUGGAGCUCAACUCCAGAACUGCCUUCGAUACUGGGAGUCUUGAGUUCGGGAGAGGUGAGUGGAACUGCGAGUGUAGAGGUGAAAUUCGUAGAUAUUCGCAAGAACACCAGUGGCGAAGGCGGCUCACUGGCCCGAUACUGACGCUGAGGUGCGAAAGCGUGGGGAGCAAACAGG
rnacentral:rRNA from 1 species